GUUAAGAUGAAAAUGUUCUAGAGUGUGUAUUAUGGAAAUUGUGGUAUGGAAAUUAUAUAAUACACACUCUAGAACAUUUUCAUCUUAAU
rnacentral:miRNA from 1 species